AUUGAACGCUGGCGGCAGGCCUAACACAUGCAAGUCGAACGAGUGGCGGACGGGUGAGUAAUGUCUGGGAAACUGCCUGAUGGAGGGGGAUAACUACUGGAAACGUUAGCUAAUCCCGCAUACCAUCAGAUUUUCCCAGAUGGGAUGAGCGUGUUGGUGGGGUAACGGCUCACCAAGGCGACGCUCCCUAGCGGGUCUGAGAGGAUUACCAGCCACACUGGAACUGAGACACGGUCCAGACUCCUAAGGGAGGCAGCAGUGGGGAAUAUUGCACAAUGGGCGCAAGCCGGAUGCAGCCAUGCCGCGUGUAUGAAGAAGGCCUUCGGGUUGUAAAGUACUUUCAGCGGGGAGGCGUUACCCGCAGAAGAAGCACCGGCUAACUCCGUGCCAGCAGCCGCGGUAAUUC
rnacentral:rRNA from 1 species